rnacentral:rRNA from 1 species
GAUAAACGCUGGCGGCGUGCCUAAUGCAUGCAAGUCGAACGGUCUAGUUUCUUCGGAAGCUAGGUAGUGGCAAACGGGUGAGUAACACGUGGGGAUCUGCCCAGUAGUGGGGAACAACUCCGAGAAAUCGGAGCUAAUACCGCAUACGGUAGGUGUUGAAGGACACCAUACUAAAGCCGACGUAAGAAGGCGCUAUUGGAGGAACCUGCGGCUGAUUAGCUAGUUGGUGGGGUAAAGCCUACCAAGGCGAUGAUCAGUAGCUGGUCUGAGAGGAUGGACAGCCACACUGGGACUGAGAUACGGCCCAGACUCCUACGGGAGGCAGCAGCAAGGAAUUUUCGUCAAUGGGGGGAAACCCUGAACGAGCAACG